GCGGGCGUAGUUCAAUGGCAGAACACUGGCCUUCCAAGCCAGAUAUGGCGGUUCGACUCCGCUCGCCCGCUCCA
rnacentral:tRNA from 1 species